AGUGAACGCUGGCGGUAGGCCUAACACAUGCAAGUCGAACGGCAGCACAGUAAGAGCUUGCUCUUACGGGUGGCGAGUGGCGGACGGGUGAGGAAUACAUCGGAAUCUACUUUUUCGUGGGGGAUAACGUAGGGAAACUUACGCUAAUACCGCAUACGACCUACGGGUGAAAGCAGGGGAUCUUCGGACCUUGCGCGAUUGAAUGAGCCGAUGUCGGAUUAGCUAGUUGGCGGGGUAAAGGCCCACCAAGGCGACGAUCCGUAGCUGGUCUGAGAGGAUGAUCAGCGACACUGGAACUGAGACACGGUCAAGACGCCUACGGGAGGCAGCAGUGGGGAAUAUUGGACAAUGGGCGCAAGCCUGAUCCAGCCAUACCGCGUGGGUGAAGAAGGCCUUCGGGUUGUAAAGCCCUUUUGUGGGGAAAGAAAAGCAGCAGGUUAAUACCCCGCUGUUCUGACGGUACCCAAAGAAUAAGCACCGGCUAACUUCGUG
rnacentral:rRNA from 1 species